rnacentral:rRNA from 1 species
UACGUAGGGUGCAAGCGUUAAUCGGAAUUACUGGGCGUAAAGCGUGCGCAGGCGGCUUUGCAAGACAGAUGUGAAAUCCCCGGGCUUAACCUGGGAACUGCAUUUGUGACUGCAUGGCUGGAGUACGGCAGAGGGGGAUGGAAUUCCGCAUGUAGCAGUGAAAUGCGUAGAUAUGCGGAGGAACACCGAUGGCGAAGGCAGUCCCCUGGGCCUGUACUGACGCUCAUGCACGAAAGCGUGGGGAGCAAACAGG